rnacentral:rRNA from 1 species
UACGUAGGUGGCGAGCGUUAUCCGGAAUUAUUGGGCGUAAAGAGCGCGCAGGUGGUUGAUUAAGUCUGAUGUGAAAGCCCACGGCUUAACCGUGGAGGGUCAUUGGAAACUGGUCGACUUGAGUGCAGAAGAGGGAAGUGGAAUUCCAUGUGUAGCGGUGAAAUGCGUAGAGAUAUGGAGGAACACCAGUGGCGAAGGCGACUCUCUGGUCUGUAACUGACGCUGAGGCGCGAAAGUGUGGGGAGCAAACAGGAUUAGAUA